GUAAUUUUGAGCUGGUGCACCAUAAGGCCCAUCAAUCAGGAUUUUUGGAAAUCUGCAAAAAAAAAAAAAAAACUGAUUACUCCAAGAAAGUUCUAAGUGCUGUUGUCCAGUCGCCUAAAGUCCUGAUAUGCACGCUUAAGUAGUCGUCCCCUGGUGCUGAAGUGAUGGAAAAUGGGUGCCUGAUGAAGAUCAAACUAGUAGGCUUACGAACGUAUAUUAUGACACGGAAAGUUUAACUAUGAUCUGGCCAAGUUAAUACCAUUCAAAGUUGGAUACAUCUGGGCAUUUGACAAAAAGGGCGAUAAACAUCAUGGAUACGAAGUCCGCAUCGCGAUUUCAUGUGGCUCUGAAGUUGUGCGGUAUGACGAACCCCUUCUUCCUGAUGUUGUGUACCUACUGGGUAUAUACUAUACAAUCAUGCACGAAGAGAACCAGAAGGAGCAAAACUCACCGAUGCAAUGGCCGAAGUCAUCCUUUUGAAGCCUCCCUUCAAUCGCGCACUGAUCGAACCUCUUCUCCACG